AGAACGCAGCGAAACGCGAUAGGUAAUGUGAAUUGCAGAAUUCCGUGAAUCAUCGAAUCUUUGAACGCACCUUGCGCUCCAUGGUAUUCCGUGGAGCAUGCCUGUUUGAGUGCCGCGAAUUCUCCCUCCCCUUACGGUGGCCGAAAGGCCGAAGUAGGGCGGACGGGGUAGGAUGGGUGUUUGCUGCCUGGGGAUUGUACCAGGCUCGCCCGAAAUGCAUAAGCGCCAGGACCCUCGCUACCGCUCUCUAGGGAAGAGUGGCUAAGCGACCGCUGAGCAUGGCAUGAUACGUCAUUUGCUGUGUGUGGGCGGCCGGUUGGAGAGGUGUCUGCUUUACCAGCCCUAUUUUAAUUCUGGUCUCAAAUCAGGUAGGAUCACCCGCUGAACUUAAGCAUAU
rnacentral:rRNA from 1 species